CAUUGCUGUUUCACUGGUAUUCAUGUGUUGUAGGUCAUAUGGAGAAUGAACCCCGUCCCAGCUCCUUGAAUUCUCCAUUGCAUAGGACUUGGGGACCAACUUGGCACGCUUCCCUUGAACUUUCUGUGGGCCUUGAGGACUGUGACAAAUAAACAUGGAAUGGAA
rnacentral:lncRNA from 1 species